GACGAACGCUGGCGGCGUGCCUAAUACAUGCAAGUAGAACGCUGAAGGAGGAGCUUGCUUCUCUGGAUGAGUUGCGAACGGGUGAGUAACGCGUAGGUAACCUGCCUGGUAGCGGGGGAUAACUAUUGGAAACGAUAGCUAAUACCGCAUAAGAGUAGAUGUUGCAUGACAUUUGCUUAAAAGGUGCAAUUGCAUCACUACCAGAUGGACCUGCGUUGUAUUAGCUAGUUGGUGAGGUAACGGCUCACCAAGGCGACGAUACAUAGCCGACCUGAGAGGGUGAUCGGCCACACUGGGACUGAGACACGGCCCAGACUCCUACGGGAGGCAGCAGUAGGGAAUCUUCGGCAAUGGACGGAAGUCUGACCGAGCAACGCCGCGUGAGUGAAGAAGGUUGUCGGAUCGUAAAGCUCUGUUGUAAGAGAAGAACGAGUGUGAGAGUGGAAAGUUCACACUGUGACGGUAUCUGAACAGAAAGGGACGGCUAACUACGUG
rnacentral:rRNA from 1 species